AUGAUCUCCUGGAAACUAGGCUUAGCUCGAAUCAGUUGCAUCCAAGCUUUAUGUAUUGUUAAGGCGUGCCUGACAUGGUACUUGUCUAGCAUGUCAUUUUUGAAGCGGAUGCAUUUCUGGCGUUUUACUUAUUUUGCCAAUCUGUGCAUAUCUUUUACUGAAGGAGGCUACAUUGUGUCAGUGGAUCAACAUGAACCCAUCCAUGUCAUUGUUAUCACCAAGAUGUCAGCAGCAAUGAUCUCCAACAACGAGGCUUGCCUGGCACCGUACUUGUCUAGCGGGUCAUUACCGAAGCGGGUGCAACCUUAG
rnacentral:rRNA from 1 species